UGGCACUAGAAGCCGAUGAAGGACGUUACUAACGACGAUAUGCUUUGGGUAGCUGUAAGUAAGCGUUGAUCCAGAGAUUUCCGAAUGGGGGAACCCAGCAUGAGUUAUGUCAUGUUAUCGACAUGUGAAUUUAUAGCAUGUCAGAAGGCAGACCCGGAGAACUGAAACAUCUUAGUACCCGGAGGAAGAGAAAGAAAAAUCGAUUCCCUGAGUAGCGGCGAGCGAAACGGGAAGAGCCCAAAC
rnacentral:rRNA from 1 species